rnacentral:rRNA from 1 species
UACAGAGGGGGCAAGCGUUGUUCGGAAUCACUGGGCGUAAAGGGCGCGUAGGUGGCGGCCCAAGUCCAUGGUGAAAGCUCGCCGCUCAACGGCGAGUCGGCCACGGAUACUGGGUUGCUCGAGCACUGUAGGGGCAGAUGGAAUUCCGGGUGUAGCGGUGGAAUGCGUAGAGAUCCGGAAGAACACCAGUGGCGAAGGCGGUCUGCUGGGCAGUAGCUGACACUGAUGCGCGACAGCGUGGGGAGCAAACAGG